CAUAACGACUCUCGGCAACGGAUAUCUCGGCUCUCGCAUCGAUGAAGAACGUAGCGAAAUGCGAUACUUGGUGUGAAUUGCAGAAUCCCGUGAACCAUCGAGUCUUUGAACGCAAGUUGCGCCCGAAGCCUCACGGCCGAGGGCACGCCUUCCUGGGCGUCACGCA
rnacentral:rRNA from 2 species